GACUUAAUGAAACGUUUCCAUUUAGAGGGGUGGAGAGGAGUCACGUUAGUACAUUUUUCAACACCCCCCCCCCCCCCGAACUUAAUUGAGCAUCUGACGUAAUUCAUUAUACAGCUAGAAAUGUUAUGGUUAGAGCCGACCACGGUUCCUUAUUCUACGUCUGUCAGAGAGGCGUGUUGGUGUGUUUCUACACAGCAUAUUUCUACCUGAACGUUUUUCACACGUCAUACGUCCCGCUGUAACCGUGGUAACCGUGUCAACUCCCCCCCCCCCCCCCUUCCACCGGUCCGACCGGUCAGUCAAACUUUCUGCUGCAUAUUCUAGAAAACAUAUAUCUAUGCUAUAUCCCUUUCUUUAUUUUUCAGCUCAAACGGCAUCCUGUUGCCUAGGUUACACAACAAAACCCUAAUUAACUCAAAACACAGUGACUAGGUAGUGCACUAGUACUGUCUACUACUGUCAGUCACCUAAUCAGACCCCUAAUAUCUAACAAAUUACACCACAAAACCCUAAUUAACUCCAAACACAGGGACUAGGUAGUGCACUAGUACUGUCCAGAGGGUCAGCCACCUAAUCAGACCCCUAAUAUCUAACAAAUUACACCACAAAACCCUAAUUAACUCAAAACACAGGGACUAGGUAGUGCACUAGUACUGUCUACUACUGUCAGUCACCUAAUCAGACCCCUAAUAUCUAACAAAUUACACCACAAAACCCUAAUUAACUCAAAACACAGUGACUAGGUAGUGCACUAGUACUGUCUACUACUGUCAGUCACCUAAUCAGACCCCUAAUAUCUAACAAAUUACACCACAAAACCCUAAUUAACUCAAAACACAGGGACUAGGUAGUGCACUAGUACUGUCCAGAGAGUCAGUCACCUAAUCAGACCCCUAAUAUCUAACAAAUUACACCACAAAACCCUAAUUAACUCAAAACACAGUGACUAGGUAGUGCACUAGUACUGUCUACUACUGUCAGUCACCUAAUCAGACCCCUAAUAUCUAACAAAUUACACCACAAAACCCUAAUUAACUCAAAACACAGUGACUAGGUAGUGCACUAGUACUGUCUACUACUGUCAGUCACCUAAUCAGACCCCUAAUAUCUAACAAAUUACACCACAAAACCCUAAUUAACUCAAAACACAGUGACUAGGUAGUGCACUAGUACUGUCUACUACUGUCAGUCACCUAAUCAGACCCCUAAUAUCUAACAAAUUACACCACAAAACCCUAAUUAACUCCAAACACAGGGACUAGGUAGUGCACUAGUACUGUCCAGAGGAUCAGUCACCUAAUCAGACCCCUAAUAUCUAACAAAUUACACCACAAAACCCUAAUUAACUCAAAACACAGUGACUAGGUAGUGCACUAGUACUGUCUACUACUGUCAGUCACCUAAUCAGACCCCUAAUAUCUAACAAAUUACACCACAAAACCCUAAUUAACUCAAAACACAGUGACUAGGUAGUGCACUAGUACUGUCUACUACUGUCAGCCACCUAAUCAGACCCUAAUAUCUAACAAAUUACACCACAAAACCCUAAUUAACUCAAAACACAGGGACUAGGUAGUGCACUAGUACUGUCCAGAGGAUCAGUCACCUAAUCAGACCCCUAAUAUCUAACAAAUUACACCACAAAACCCUAAUUAACUCAAAACACAGUGACUAGGUAGUGCACUAGUACUGUCUACUACUGUCAGUCACCUAAUCAGACCCUAAUAUCUAACAAAUUACACCACAAAACCCUAAUUAACUCAAAACACAGUGACUAGGUAGUGCACUAGUACUGUCUACUACUGUCAGUCACCUAAUCAGACCCCUAAUAUCUAACAAAUUACACCACAAAACCCUAAUUAACUCAAAACACAGGGACUAGGUAGUGCACUAGUACUGUCUACUACUGUCAGUCACCUAAUCAGACCCCUAAUAUCUAACAAAUUACACCACAAAACCCUAAUUAACUCAAAACACAGUGACUAGGUAGUGCACUAGUACUGUCCAGAGGAUCAGUCACCUAAUCAGACCCCUAAUAUCUAACAAAUUACACCACAAAAUCCUAAUUAACUCAAAACACAGGGACUAGGUAGUGCACUAGUACUGUCCAGAGGAUCAGCCACCUAAUCAGACCCCUAAUAUCUAACAAAUUACACCACAAAACCCUAAUUAACUCAAAACACAGUGACUAGGUAGUGCACUAGUACUGUCCAGAGGAUCAGUCACCUAAUCAGACCCCUAAUAUCUAACAAAUUACACCACAAAACCCUAAUUAACUCAAAACACAGUGACUAGGUAGUGCACUAGUACUGUCUACUACUGUCAGUCACCUAAUCAGACCCCUAAUAUCUAACAAAUUACACCACAAAACCCUAAUUAACUCAAAACACAGGGACUAGGUAGUGCACUAGUACUGUCCAGAGGAUCAGUCACCUAAUCAGACCCCUAAUAUCUAACAAAUUACACCACAAAACCCUAAUUAACUCAAAACACAGUGACUAGGUAGUGCACUAGUACUGUCCAGAGGAUCAGUCACCUAAUCAGACCCCUAAUAUCUAACAAAUUACACCACAAAACCCUAAUUAACUCAAAACACAGUGACUAGGUAGUGCACUAGUACUGUCCAGAGGAUCAGUCACCUAAUCAGACCCCUAAUAUCUAACAAAUUACACCACAAAACCCUAAUUAACUCCAAACACAGGGACUAGGUAGUGCACUAGUACUGUCCAGAGGAUCAGUCACCUAAUCAGACCCCUAAUAUCUACCAAUUACACCACAAAACCCUAAUUAACUCAAAACACAGGGACUAGGUAGUGCACUAGUACUGUCUACUACUGUCAGUCACCUAAUCAGACCCCUAAUAUCUAACAAAUUACACCACAAAACCCUAAUUAACUCAAAACACAGUGACUAGGUAGUGCACUAGUACUGUCUACUACUGUCAGUCACCUAAUCAGACCCUAAUAUCUAACAAAUUACACCACAAAACCCUAAUUAACUCAAAACACAGUGACUAGGUAGUGCACUAUAAUAGGGAAUAAGGGGCUGUUCAGGACUGGGCUGAUCUGUUAGUUUGUGUCUGUUGAGAUGCCAUGAUGAUGAUGAUGAUGAUGAUGAUGGUGAUGAUACCAUGUAUGUAACAUUGUUUGUAAUAAGAUGUACAGUUUAAAGACAUUUAUGAACAGAAGGAA